rnacentral:tRNA from 1 species
GCGCCCUUAGCUCAGCUGGAUAGAGCGCGUCCCUUCUAAGGAUGUGGUCAUUGGUUCGAAUCCAAUAGGGCGUGCCA